rnacentral:misc_RNA from 1 species
UGUAGGAGCCGGCUUGCUGGCGAUGGCAUCAUCGCGGUUUACCUGCAACACCGCGGUGAUGCCAUCGCCAGCAAGCCGGCUCCUACA